rnacentral:rRNA from 1 species
UACGGAGGGGGCUAGCGUUGUUCGGAAUUACUGGGCGUAAAGCGCGCGUAGGCGGACCUGCAAGUCGGGGGUGAAAGCCCGAGGCUCAACCUCGGAACUGCCUUCGAUACUGCGGGUCUCGAGUCCGGGAGAGGUGAGUGGAAUUCCUGGUGUAGCGGUGAAAUGCGCAGAUAUCAGGAGGAACACCAGCGGCGAAGGCGGCGCUCUGGGCCGGUACUGACGCUGAGACGCGAAAGCGUGGGGAGCGAACAGG